rnacentral:tRNA from 1 species
GGUUGUGGCUCAGUGGUAGAGCACUUGCCUAGCAUGCAUGAGGCACUGAGUUUGAUCCACGGCACCA